GAAACUCAAAGGAAUUGACGGGGGCCCGCACAAGCGGUGGAGUAUGUGGUUUAAUUNGACGCAACGCGAAGAACCUUACCAGGUCUUGACAUUGAUGGACAGAACCAGAGAUGGUUCCUCUUCUUCGGAAGCCAGAAAACAGGUGGUGCACGGUUGUCGUCAGCUCGUGUCGUGAGAUGUUGGGUUAAGUCCCGCAACGAGCGCAACCCCUAUCUUAUGUUGCCAGCACGUAAUGGUGGGAACUCAUGAGAGACUGCCGCAGACAAUGCGGAGGAAGGCGGGGAUGACGUCAAAUCAUCAUGCCCCUUAUGACCUGGGCUACACACGUACUACAAUGGGAGUUAAUAGACGGAAGCGAGAUCGCGAGAUGGAGCAAACCCGAGAAACACUCUCUCAGUUCGGAUCGUAGGCUGCAACUCGCCUACGUGAAGUCGGAAUCGCUAGUAAUCGCAGGUCAGCAUACUGCGGUGAAUACGUUCCCGGGCCUUGUACACACCGCCCGUCACACCACGAAAGUCGGAAGUGCCCAAAGCCGGUGGGGUAACCUUCGGGAGCCAGCCGUCUAAGGUAA
rnacentral:rRNA from 1 species